UAUUCCACAUAUCCAAAGUAAGUAAGCGACAUAAUUUACUGCACUUAUUUUACUAAUGGAAUUUAUAUGGGCGAUAAGUUACUUGGCAAAGCUGAUAAAACAAAUAGAUCGGAAGAGAAC